rnacentral:ribozyme from 1 species
CAUUUGAGUUGUUAUAACUUCUUCAUGGAUAAAGCAUACUCUCAUAUCGGCUUAAGCCGGUGGCAUGGGUACGUUUAAACAUGUGUAGAGUGCAAAGGUUCCUUAAAAAAGGUUUCAAACUUGCAUUUAAACUACUACAAACGAAGAAAUAACAAUGAAGAUGACCAGGGAAACAUGACGUACAGUAAUGUGCGUUAGCACAUUAACUGGU